rnacentral:rRNA from 1 species
GAGGAAUAUUGGUCAAUGGGCGGAAGCCUGAACCAGCCAUGCCGCGUGCGGGAAGAAGGCGCUACGCGUCGUAAACCGCUUUUGUCCGGGGGUAACCGCGGGGACGUGUCCCCGCCUGCAAGUACCGGACGAAUAAGGGUCGGCUAACUCCGUGCCAGCAGCCGCGGUAAUACGGAGGACCCGAGCGUUAUCCGGAUUCAUUGGGUUUAAAGGGUGCGCAGGCGGCCCGGUCAGUCAGCGGUGAAAUGCCCGCGCUUCACGCGGGAGCUGCCGUUGAUACUGCCGGGCUAGAAUCUCAGCGAGGCGGGCGGAAUGCGCGGUGUAGCGGUGAAAUGCAUAGAUAUCGCGCAGAACGCCGAUUGGGGAGCCAGCUCGCCAGCUGGGUAUUGACGCUGAGGCACGAAAGCGUGGGGAUCGAAC